UGGCAGAGUAAGUGCAUAAUAUUUAGAAUAUUAAUAUAGAUACU
rnacentral:tRNA from 1 species